UACUUUUGCACGAUUGAAUAGAAAAUCUAUUUUAGCAUAAAAAUUAUUGAAAUAAUAUUGGCAUG
rfam:Psychroflexus torquis ATCC 700755, complete genome.